UGCACAUGGUGUGAAAAUCCAUCCUUAAAAUGAAAGCUCACUGAAAAGGCAAGCAGAAGUGACAUUGAAAUGCCUGUGGUUCAAAAGCUCUGUGUUGGAAAGCUGCCGUUUGAUGUAUUUGGCCAAGGAAGACUGAAACCUGUUAACAUUACACUUCCAGUGCAUCCCCAAACCAAACACAACAUCCCUGAGAAGUGAAACCUGGUUGGGAAGAAGCAACUGGCUGUUAGACUUCAGGACAAAAGGAAAACAUCAUGAUGGUGAAUUGAAGUAAUGACAAGAUAUUGAGUGGGACUUCAAAGAACCCAACAUACUUGCUUCUCCUUCAAAAAGGAAAACUACAAUAGGCCUGGUAACAGAAUCAAACUCUCUCAAGCAUAAACACCAUUGAAGCCA